AAAGCAUUCUUGGAAGCUAGCUUUGCAGCGGGACUGUCAGGACAAGUACUGUGUAUCCAAAGGUCCUCUCCUCUGCUCUAUUGAGCCCUAGCCCUAUGAAGUGACCCCAGAAAAUGCUUUCCUUCCAAUUUCAUCAUUUACGCUGUCUGCCAAGCACCUCGUCAGCUCACAUCUGGACACUUUGCUCAAGCAGCAUGGGUCUCCAAGCCAGGGGCCACGUGGAGGGAGGCAGCAGAGAUGAGGUGCCUGGGCAGGAGCUGUCCUGCAAGAGCCUGGAGUCUGCAGGAGGGACGUACCUGUGACCCAAGCUGCACCAGUCGGAAUGUCCUGCCAGGGAAUGUGGGUCUUGAGCCGAGUGAUGCCAGGAUGGAGCGUGGUGAAGGCUGAUUCGUCCAGACAGCCUCCCCUGGGGGAGAUUGCCCUUUGGUUCCCACACUCUAGAUCCCAGCGUCUGCUCUGAGUUGCAUCCUUUCAGCUUCCUCCCAGAUUUUCAGCUGCCUCCCAUCUUUCAUUCAAUUCUUUUUCUGCUCAAGUUAGCCAGAUUCAAUUUCUAUUGAAUUUGACCAAAGCACCUGGACUAACACGCAUCCUAAGGGUGGGGAGGAGGGGGGCUGUACUUAUUGCUCAGCCAGUGCUUCUCAUUUUGACUCCUGCCCAACCAUAGCACUUUCUGUUCAUGGAUUGAGGUGGAGCUGAGUGAGAAAAGCAGGAUCCUAUUAUCCACACAUUUUAGGGCCAGAGAAGGACUCCGUGCUUCUAUAUUUGAGUCCUUGCGGACAAACUGCAAGGUAGCUUAAUAGGCAGACAAGAUUGAAAACCUAACUUAGGAGUAUCUGCUUGUAACUACAGCUGAGUUGUCUUGGCCAAUUCCAGCAGCCAUACUUCAACCAUUCACACACUGCUGAGUGUUCAAACUGGGUUCAAAUAAGGCAAACGCCAACUUUUAACCAACCCAGCCAUUCUAUACCUCACUUCCGAUUUCUGUACUUUAUUUUCCUUUUUUUGUCUGUAAGUCUUCUUCCACCACGUAGCUGCGCUGGAGUCUUUGUGAAUCUGCUGUGAUUCUGGGGGCUGCCCGAUUCACAAAUCAUUCAUUGCUCAAUUAAACUUCUUUAAAUUUAAUUCAGCUAAAGUUUUUCUUUUAUCGAAAUGAAAUUG
rnacentral:lncRNA from 1 species